rnacentral:piRNA from 1 species
UGAAAGAAAGGUGCUUAAGCCAGCAGGGCUCC